rnacentral:rRNA from 1 species
CCUACGGGCGGCAGCAGUGGGGAAUAUUGGACAAUGGGGGGAACCCUGAUCCAGCCAUGCCGCGUGUGUGAAGAAGGCCCUCGGGUUGUAAAGCACUUUCAGUGAGGAAGAACGCCUGGUGGUUAAUACCCAUCAGGAAAGACAUCACUCACAGAAGAAGCACCGGCUAACUCCGUGCCAGCAGCCGCGGUAAUACGGAGGGUGCGAGCGUUAAUCGGAAUUACUGGGCGUAAAGCGCGCGUAGGUGGCUUGAUAAGCCGGUUGUGAAAGCCCCGGGCUCAACCUGGGAACGGCAUCCGGAACUGUCAAGCUAGAGUGCAGGAGAGGAAGGUAGAAUUCCCGGGGUAGCGGUGAAAUGCGUAGAGAUCGGGAGGAAUACCAGUGGCGAAGGCGGCCUUCUGGACUGACACUGACACUGAGGUGCGAAAGCGUGGGUAGCAAACAGGAUUAGAUACCCCUGUAGUC